CUUUAGUUUGAAACCCCGAAACCAGGUGAGCUACCCCGAGACAGCCUAUACAAAUUAGGGCUAACCCGUCUCUGUGGCAAAAGAGUGGGAAGAGCUCCGGGUAGAAGUGACAGACCUACCGAACCUGGUGAUAGCUGGUUGCCUGAGAAAUGGAUAGAAGUUCAGCCCCGCACACCCCAGACCAAAACCCUACACUUAAGGUAAUUUAAGAGUAAUAUGCGGGAGUUAGUUAAAGGGGGUACAGCCCCUCUAACAAAGGAUACAACCUUACCAGGAGGAUAAAGAUCAUAAUAUUUAAAACAAACUGUUUUAGUGGGCCUAAAAGCAGCCAUCUAAAUAGAAAGCGUUAAAGCUCAAACAGAAUAAAGUUUAUUAUAACGAUAAAAAAUCUUAUUCCCCUAAAAAUAUCAGGCUAUUCCAUGCUUGCAUGGAAGAAAUUAUGCUAAAAUGAGUAACAAGAAGACCUGCUCUUCUCCAAGCACAAGUGUAACCCAGAUCGGACAAGCCACUGGGAAAUAACGAACUCAACUCAAGAGAGUACUGUGAACAACAUAAAAACCAAGAAAAACUCACAACAAUAUAAUCGUUAACCCCACACUGGAGUGCUAUUUAUAAAGGAAAGACUAAAAGAAAGGGAAGGAACUCGGCAAACGCAAGCCUCGCCUGUUUACCAAAAACAUCGCCUCCUGCAACUGGAUUAAGUAUAGGAGGUCCAGCCUGCCCAGUGACUACGGGUUCAACGGCCGCGGUAUUUUGACCGUGCAAAGGUAGCGCAAUCACUUGUCUUUUAAAUAGAGACCUGUAUGAAUGGCUAAACGAGGGCUUAACUGUCUCCCCCUUCCAGUCAGUGAAAUUGAUCUAUCCGUGCAGAAGCGGGUAUAAUACUACAAGACGAGAAGACCCUUUGGAGCUUAAGGUACAAAAUUUAACCACGUUAAACAACUCAACAAAAAGCAAGAACUUAGUGGGCUAUAAAAUUUUACCUUCGGUUGGGGCGACCGCGGAGGAAAAACUAGCCUCCGAGUGGACUGGGCUUUACCCCUAAAACCAAGAGAAACAUCUCUAAGCCGCAGAACAUCUGACCAAUAAUGAUCCGGCCUUAUGGCCGACCAACGGACCAAGUUACCCUAGGGAUAACAGCGCAAUCCUCUCCCAGAGUCCAUAUCGACGAGGGGGUUUACGACCUCGAUGUUGGAUCAGGACAUCCUAAUGGUGCAGCCG
rnacentral:rRNA from 1 species